ACGGGUGAGUAACGCGUGGGAACGUGCCUUCUGGUUCGGAAUAACUCAGGGAAACUUGAGCUAAUACCGGAUACGCCCUUUUGGGGAAAGGUUUACUGCCGGAAGAUCGGCCCGCGUCUGAUUAGCUAGUUGGUGGGGUAAUGGCCUACCAAGGCGACGAUCAGUAGCUGGUCUGAGAGGAUGAUCAGCCACACUGGGACUGAGACACGGCCCAGACUCCUACGGGAGGCAGCAGUGGGGAAUAUUGGACAAUGGGCGCAAGCCUGAUCCAGCCAUGCCGCGUGAGUGAUGAAGGCCUUAGGGUUGUAAAGCUCUUUUAUCCGGGACGAUAAUGACGGUACCGGAGGAAUAAGCCCCGGCUAACUUCGUGCCAGCAGCCGCGGUAAUACGAAGGGGGCUAGCGUUGCUCGGAAUCACUGGGCGUAAAGGGCGCGUAGGCGGCGUUUUAAGUUGGGGGUGAAAGCCCGUGGCUCAACCACAGAAUUGCCUUCGAUACUGGGACGCUUGAGUGUGGUAGAGGUUGGUGGAACUGCGAGU
rnacentral:rRNA from 1 species